CUACGGGGUGCUCCAGUGGGGAAUAUUGCACAAUGGGGGGAACCCUGAUGCAGCAACGCCGCGUGGAGGAUGACGCAUUUCGGUGUGUAAACUCCUUUUAUAUGUCAAGAAAAUGACGGUAGCAUAUGAAUAAGCACCGGCUAACUCCGUGCCAGCAGCCGCGGUAAUACGGAGGGUGCAAGCGUUACUCGGAAUCACUGGGCGUAAAGGACGCGUAGGCGGGUUGGAAAGUCAGGUGUGAAAUCCUACAGCUUAACUGUAGAACUGCACUUGAAACUACGAGCCUAGAGUAUGGGAGGGGGAGAUGGAAUUAGUGGUGUAGGGGUAAAAUCCGUAGAUAUCACUAGGAAUACCUAAAGCGAAGGCGAUCUCCUGGAACAUAACUGACGCUAAGGCGUGAAAGCGUGGGGAGCAAACAGGAUUAGAUACCCCCGUAGUC
rnacentral:rRNA from 1 species